rnacentral:rRNA from 1 species
GACGAACGCUGGCGGCGUGCUUAACACAUGCAAGUCGAACGGAAAGGCCCUGCUUUUGUGGGGUGCUCGAGUGGCGAACGGGUGAGUAACACGUGAGUAACCUGCCCUUGACUUUGGGAUAACUUCAGGAAACUGGGGCUAAUACCGGAUAGGAGCUCCUGCUGCAUGGUGGGGGUUGGAAAGUUUCGGCGGUUGGGGAUGGACUCGCGGCUUAUCAGCUUGUUGGUGGGGUAGUGGCUUACCAAGGCUUUGACGGGUAGCCGGCCUGAGAGGGUGACCGGCCACAUUGGGACUGAGAUACGGCCCAGACUCCUACGGGGGGCAGCAGUGGGGAAUAUUGCACAAUGGGCGGAAGCCUGAUGCAGCAACGCCGUGUGCGGGAUAACGGCCUUCGGGUUGUAAACCGCUUUCGCCUGUGACGAAGCGUGAGUGACGGUAAUGGGUAAAGAAGCACCGGCUAACUACGUG